rnacentral:ncRNA from 1 species
GGCGUAUUUUGCUCAGGCGGAGCUCGACCGCCCGUUCAAGCGAUGAUCGCGUUCAUCGACGAUCAGCGUGCCAUUCAUGGGGUCGAGCCGAUCUGCAAGGUCCUGCCGAUCGCCCCG